UACGGGGGGAGCAAGCGUUGUUCGGAUUUACUGGGCGUAAAGGGCGCGUAGGCGGCCACCGCAAGUCGACUGUGAAAUCUCCGGGCUUAACCCGGAAAGGUCAGCCGAUACUGCGGGGCUAGAGUGCGGAAGGGGCAACUGGAAUUCUCGGUGUAGCGGUGAAAUGCGUAGAUAUCGAGAGGAACACCUGCGGCGAAGGCGGGUUGCUGGGCCGACACUGACGCUGAUGCGCGAAAGCCAGGGGAGCGAACGGG
rnacentral:rRNA from 1 species